CUAAGGGUUCCUGAGGAAGGUUCGUCCGCUCAGGGUUAGUCGGGACCUAAGCCGAGGCCGAAAGGCGUAGGUGAUGGACAACAGGUUGAGAUUCCUGUACCACCUCCUUCCCGUUUGAGCGAUGGGGGGACGCAGGAGGAUAGGGCGAGCAGGCGGCUGGAAGAGCCUGUCCAAGCCGCAAGGCUGAUCCGUAGGCAAAUCCGCGGAUCAUAAGGCCAAGCGGUGACGGCGACGGAUUGAUCCGGAAGUCCCCGAUUUCACACUGCCAAGAAAAGCCUCUAGCGAGGGAAGAGGUGCCCGUACCGCAAACCGACACAGGUAGGCGAGGAGAGAAUCCUAAGGCGCGCGGGAGAACUCUCGUUAAGGAACUCGGCAAAAUGACCCCGUAACUUCGGGAGAAGGGGUGCUCGUUUGGGUGAAGAGCCCGAACGAGCCGCAGUGAAAAGG
rnacentral:rRNA from 1 species